GCGGGAGGUUGGUCUAUAAAAAGGGCAAGAGUGCCUGUGGAGGCAUCACUUGGCCAUCCAUCCAUUCAGUGCUACUCGAUUUAGAAAAGAGGAGGGGAGGGGAAGAAAAGAAAAAGAGAGGAGAGGAGAGGAAGAAAGAAAGAAAAGAAAAUGAGAGGGAGAGAAGAGGAUGAGCGGCAAAGUCCUACCGAGAAGGGAAGGGGAGAGAAGAGGGGAAUUAGUGAAGCCUUGUCGGAUUUUAUCUUUAUUGGCGAGACGGUGUACCACUCUAACAGUGCGCUAUCAACAUUUUGUCGACUUGGACAUCAAAGCCAUCAUUAGCUGUACACCAAAUUUGCUUGGGAUAAGAAGCUUUAUGAGGUGUUCAAGCAUGCAGGCAAGAGAGAGUGUGAAGAUUGAACACGAGAAAAUCUUUCUACACUCCAAUAUGGACAUGAUCAAGGCUUCCAUAAACAAGCUGCAAUUAUUGAUUAUCGAUCAUUACUUCACAGGCUGCCACUACUACAUCCUCAGCCGUCGACAGAGUUGACAGUAGCUUGCACCACAGCUUGUCGUCCUUGCUUUAUGCAAGUCUUAAUUCCCAAUAUAAUGCCCGCAUCCUCCAUUUCAGAUAUU